rnacentral:rRNA from 1 species
AACGAACGCUGGCGGCAUGCCUAACACAUGCAAGUCGAACGAGACCUUCGGGUCUAGUGGCGCACGGGUGCGUAACGCGUGGGAAUCUACCCUUGGGUUCGGAAUAACUCAGAGAAAUUUGAGCUAAUACCGGAUGAUGUCGCAAGACCAAAGAUUUAUCGCCCAAGGAUGAGCCCGCGUAGGAUUAGCUUGUUGGUGAGGUAAAAGCUCACCAAGGCGACGAUCCUUAGCUGGUCUGAGAGGAUGAUCAGCCACACUGGGACUGAGACACGGCCCAGACUCCUACGGGAGGCAGCAGUGGGGAAUAUUGGACAAUGGGCGAAAGCCUGAUCCAGCAAUGCCGCGUGAGUGAUGAAGGCCUUAGGGUUGUAAAGCUCUUUUACCGGAUGAUAAUGACAGUACCGGGAGAAUAACG